rnacentral:misc_RNA from 1 species
AGUACCUCAAUUUCUUUGAUGCUAAUGAUGACAAUCUGACUUUUGAUCCUUCUGAACUUGGGUGCGAAAAUGCUGUUUCCGAUCAAGCUUCUCUACCUGAGAAGGUAAAUGUAAAUAUUCACUUAAAUAUUUCACUACCUUGUACUUGUUGAUUGGGUUUUGGACCGCACAGAGAAUUAAAUAAUUGCCUUGCAAUAGGAUGUAAAUGGAGGAACUGAGGAAGUGCCA